GACGAACCGUGCGAACGUUGUUCGGAAUCACUGGGCUUAAAGGGCGCGUAGGCGGGCCCGCAAGUCAGGGGUGAAAUCCCACGGCUCAACCGUGGAAGUGCUUUUGAUACUGCGGGUCUGGAGGGAGGUAGGGGCGUGCGGAACUUCCGGUGGAGCGGUGAAAUGCGUAGAUAUCGGAAGGAACACCGGUGGCGAAAGCGGCGCGCUGGACCUCUACUGACGCUGAGGCGCGAAAGCCAGGGGAGCAAACGGG
rnacentral:rRNA from 1 species